GCAUAUCAAAAAAGCGGAGGAAAAGAAACCAACAGGGAUUGCCCUAGUAACGGCGAGUGAAGCGGCAACAGCUCAAAUUUGAAAGCUAGCCUUCGGGUUCGCAUUGUAAUUUGUAGAGGAUGAUUUGGGGAAGCCGCCUGUCUAAGUUCCUUGGAACAGGACGUCAUAGAGGGUGAGAAUCCCGUAUGUGACAGGAAAUGGCACCCUAUGUAAAUCUCCUUCGACGAGUCGAGUUGUUUGGGAAUGCAGCUCUAAAUGGGAGGUAAAUUUCUUCUAAAGCUAAAUAUUGGCGAGAGACCGAUAGCGCACAAGUAGAGUGAUCGAAAGAUGAAAAGCACUUUGGAAAGAGAGUUAAAAAGCACGUGAAAUUGUUGAAAGGGAAGCGCUUGCAAUCAGACUUGUUUAAACUGUUCGGCCGGUCUUCUGACCGGUUUACUCAGUUUGGACAGGCCAGCAUCAGUUUCGGCGGCCGGAUAAAGGCUCUGGGAAUGUGGCCUCCACUUCGGUGGAGGUGUUAUAGCCCAGGGUGUAAUACGGCCAGCCGGGACUGAGGUCCGCGCUCGGCUAGGAUGCUGC
rnacentral:rRNA from 1 species